rnacentral:rRNA from 1 species
GAUGAACGCUGGCGGCGUGCCUAAUACAUGCAAGUCGAGCGAACGGACGAGAAGCUUGCUUCUCUGAUGUUAGCGGCGGACGGGUGAGUAACACGUGGAUAACCUACCUAUAAGACUGGGAUAACUUCGGGAAACCGGAGCUAAUACCGGAUAAUAUUUUGAACCGCAUGGUUCAAAAGUGAAAGACGGUCUUGCUGUCACUUAUAGAUGGAUCCCCUCUGCAUUAGCUAGUUGGUAAGGUAACGGCCUACCAAGGCAACGAUGCAUAGCCGACCUGAGAGGGGGAUCGGCCACACUGGAACUGGAACACGGUCCAGACUCCUACGGGAGGCAGCAGUAGGGAAUCUUCCGCAAUGGGCGAAAGCCUGACGGAGCAACGCCGCGUGAGUGAUGAAGGUCUUCGGAUCGUAAAACUCUGUUAUUAGGGAAGAACAUAUGUGUAAGUAACUGUGCACAUCUUGACGGUACCUAAUCAGAAAGCCACGGCUAACUACGUG